GACGAACGCUGGCGGCGUGCCUAAUACAUGCAAGUCGAGCGGACAUCAGGGAGCUUGCUCCUUUGAUGUUAGCGGCGGACGGGUGAGUAACACGUGGGCAACCUGCCUUAUAGCUUGGGAUAACUCCGGGAAACCGGGGCUAAUACCAAAUAAUCCAAUCUAGCUCCUGCUAGAUUGUUGAAAGAUGGUUCUGCUAUCGCUAUAGGAUGGGGCCCGCGGCGCAUUAGCUAGUUGGUAGGGUAAUGGCCUACCAAGGCGACGAUGCGUAGCCGACCUGAGAGGGUGAUCGGCCACACUGGGACUGAGACACGGCCCAGACUCCUACGGGUGGCAG
rnacentral:rRNA from 1 species